AAAGAUUCCUUUGAUGGUGGGGGUCUUUUGAACGAGUCACAUAAACUUUUGGUUUCUUUCUCACUUUCCUCCAACCCCUUGUCCCCUUUGCAGGAUUAAAAAAGCACUUGGGAGGUAUACAUUAAUCUUGCUGGCGUUGUCAGAAGUGAUCAGCGAGUUUUAUUAAAAGCUCUGGGACUGCCUGAAAGACCUCCUUGUCUGAGUUUGAAAUGAAAGGGACAUGUUAAGAUCUUGGGGCACGUUGUCAGGACCCUUCUCCCUGCCCCUUGGACUAUGAGCUGACACC
rnacentral:lncRNA from 1 species